AAAAAAAACGCCAGACAUGCUGCCCCGCACAUGCCAAAUUGGACUCAUUGACUUUCUCAAUCCAGUAACCUCGGUUGCAAACUGUUAAAUCCCUACAGGAUCUCUUAAUUUGCUUAAGUGCCAUCUGACUAACACGGUGAUCAUAGACACACACACACACACACACACACACACACACACACACGCAAUAGCAGUAGUUAAUCACACAAAUAGACUGUGAAAAGACAUGGAGAUUAAUCACUGUCGACUACUGAGACAGUCGAGUCUGGACACUUGACCUCCAAACAAAAGUCUUCUUUGAAAUGGAGUCGACGCCAUAAAAGGAAUAACAUCGUAUGAGCAAAUGUUGCGACGGCACGCAAAUGUGUGUACCGAACCCGAUGACGGAACUGUUCAUUCGUAGGAGCCGAUUCAGUUUCACGGUUUAGGAAUCUUACUGUUAACCAGGACCUCGGGCCACCUAAUAUUCAAAGUGGAUUAUGUCAACUUUUUCAAGUACGGGUAAAGGCAGACCGACCAAGUUAAAGUGUUCUACGAGCAACACACCAAAGGAAAACCGCCAAUCAGCUGACUGGAAGUGACCAAUUAAAGUAUCCCAUUGCUGCGUUUGUUGUUGUUGUAGUUGUU